rnacentral:rRNA from 1 species
GCGAGCUGGUACAUGGCCCGUACCCCAAACCGACACAGGUGGUCAGGUAGAGAAUACUAAGGCGAUCGAGAGAACUGUGGUUAAGGAACUCGGCAAAAUGCCCCCGUAACUUCGGGAGAAGGGGGACCAGUCCUGGUGACGACAUUUACUGUCUGAGCUGGGGUUGGUCGCAGAGACCAGAGAGAAGCGACUGUUUACUAAAAACACAGGUCCGUGCGAAGUCGUAAGACGAUGUAUACGGACUGACGCCUGCCCGGUGCUGGAAGGUUAAGAGGACCGGUCAGCCACUUCGGUGGCGAAGCUGAGAAUUUAAGCCCCAGUAAACGGCGGUGGUAACUAUAACCAUCCUAAGGUAGCGAAAUUCCUUGUCGGGUAAGUUCCGACCUGCACGAAUGGCGUAACGACUUCUCUGCUGUCUCAACCACAGACUCGGCGAAAUUGCAGUACGAGUAAAGAUGCUCGUUACGCGCGGCAGGACGAAAAGACCCCGGGACCUUCACUAUAGCUUGGUAUUGGUGUUCGGUUCGGUUUGUGUAGGAUAGGUGGGAGACUGUGAAACUCGCACGCCAGUGUGGGUGGAGUCAUUGUUGAAAUACCACUCUGACCGUAUUGGACAUCUAACCUCGGACCAUGAUCUGGUUCAGGGACAGUGCCUGGUGGGUAGUUUAACUGGGGCGGUUGCCUCCUAAAAAGUAACGGAGGCGCCCAAAGGUUCCCUCAGCCUGGUUGGCAAUCAGGUGUUGAGUGUAAGUGCACAAGGGAGCUUGACUGUGAGACGUACAUGUCGAGCAGGGACGAAAGUCGGGACUAGUGAUCCGGCACCGGCAAGUGGAAGCGGUGUCGCUCAACGGAUAAAAGGUACCCCGGGGAUAACAGGCUGAUCUUCCCCAAGAGUCCAUAUCGACGGGAUGGUUUGGCACCUCGAUGUCGGCUCGUCGCAUCCUGGGGCUGGAGUAGGUCCCAAGGGUUGGGCUGUUCGCCCAUUAAAGCGGCACGCGAGCUGGGUUUAGAACGUCGUGAGACAGUUCGGUCUCUAUCCGCCGCGCGCGUAAGAAACUUGAGGAAACCUGUCCCUAGUACGAGAGGACCGGGACGGACGAACCUCUGGUGUGCCAGUUGUUCCACCAGGAGCACCGCUGGUUAGCUACGUUCGGAAGGGAUAACCGCUGAAAGCAUCUAAGCGGGAAGCCUGUUCCAAGAUGAGGUUUCUCACCACCUAGCGUGGUUAAGGCCCCCCACAGACCAUGGGGUUGAUAGGCCAGAACUGUAAGCACAGCAAUGUGUUCAGGUGACUGGUACUAAUCGGCCGAGGACUUACC